rnacentral:rRNA from 1 species
AGAGGAAAGUGGAAUUCCUAGUGUAGCGGUGAAAUGCGUAGAUAUUAGGAAGAACACCAGUGGCGAAGGCGACUUUCUGGACGAAAACUGACGCUGAGGCGCGAAAGCCAGGGGAGCGAACGGGAUUAGAUACCCCCGGUAGUCCUGGCCGUAAACGAUGGGUACUAGGUGUAGGAGGUAUCGACCCCUUCUGUGCCGGAGUUAACGCAAUAAGUACCCCGCCUGGGGAGUACGACCGCAAGGUUGAAACUCAAAGGAAUUGACGGGGGCCCGCACAAGCGGUGGAGUAUGUGGUUUAAUUCGACGCAACGCGAAGAACCUUACCAGGUCUUGACAUUGAUGGACAGAACUAGAGAUAGUUCCUCUUCUUCGGAAGCCAGAAAACAGGUGGUGCACGGUUGUCGUCAGCUCGUGUCGUGAGAUGUUGGGUUAAGUCCCGCAACGAGCGCAACCCCUAUCUUAUGUUGCCAGCACUUCGGGUGGGAACUCAUGAGAGACUGCCGCAGACAAUGCGGAGGAAGGCGGGGAUGACGUCAAAUCAUCAUGCCCCUUAUGACCUGGGCUACACACGUACUACAAUGGGAGUUAAUAGACGGAAGCGAGAUCGCGAGAUGGAGCAAACCCGAGAAACACUCUCUCAGUUCGGAUCGUAGGCUGCAACUCGCCUACGUGAAGUCGGAAUCGCUAGUAAUCGCAGGUCAGCAUACUGCGGUGAAUACGUUCCCGGGCCUUGUACACACCGCCCGUCACACCACGAAAGUCGGAAGUGCCCAAAGCCGGUGGGGUAACCUUCGGGAGCCAGCCGUCUAAGGUAAAGUCGAUGAUUGGGGUGAAGUCGUAACAAGGUAGCCGUAUCGGAAGG